UCUUCCUAGUGGCCUGGAAGCCAAUCUUCUAGAAGCUUUAAGAUGUAGAACUCUCAGCUCUGUCUGUACCAUGCCUGCCUGGACACAGCCAUGAUCCUGCCUUGCUGGGGAAUGGCAAGCACGACCUUCUUUAAUACCGCAGAGAAGCAGCAAUGAGCACCUGUGAGCACCUGUGCACUCUGGCAUCUGGCAGACAGCUUGAGGUGGACGGCACAUUUACAUGAUUCAAAAAUAAGAUGCUAAGACAUGACUCCUGCAUCUGUGUCCAUUGUAGCCUCCCCCAGCCUGAAGCAGGCUGGUACAAACCUUGUGGCCACUGAGGUGGGGCCACCUGUGGUGCAGCUUUUUCGGACUUGGCUGGCUCCUCUUUGAAGUGACAACUGCCCUGCUCUUCUGCUACCUGGAGAGGCUGAACCUGUCUUCCUGAGAGAUUCCCGAAUAAGCAACCAGCCUGGAGACCAACAAAGUGCUGACAGAAUGGCUCCAGGCACCAAGAGUGGACUGGGGGACAGGGGACAGGGGACGGGGGGGUCGCCUUCCCCCUUAU
rnacentral:lncRNA from 1 species